rnacentral:rRNA from 1 species
AACGCUAGCGGCAGGCUUAACACAUGCAAGUCGAGGGGUAAAAGGAAUAGCUUGCUAUUUGCUGACGACCGGCGCACGGGUGCGUAACGCGUAUACAAUCUACCUUUUACAGAGGGAUAGCCCAGAGAAAUUUGGAUUAACACUCCAUGGAAUUAUAAAGUGGCAUCACUUAAUAAUUAAAGUUUCGGCGGUAGGAGAUGAGUAUGCGUUCUAUUAGCUAGAUGGUGUGGUACCGGCACACCAAGACUACGAUAGACAGGGGUCCUCAGAGGAUGGUCCCCCACACUGGUACUGAGACACGGACCAGACUCCUACGGGAGGCAGCAGUGAGGAAUAUUGGUCAAUGGAGGAAACUCUGAACCAGCCAUGCCGCGUGCAGGAUGACGGCCCUACGGGUUGUAAACUGCUUUUAUACGGGAAGAAACCUGAUUACGUGUAAUCAGCUGACGGUACCGUAUGAAUAAGCAUCGGCUAACUCCGUGCCAGCAGCCGCGGUAAUACGGAGGAUGCAAGCGUUAUCCGGAUUCAUUAGGUUUAAAGGGUGCGUAGGCGGGAUAGUAAGUCAGUGGUGAAAUCCUACAGCUCAACUGUAGAACUGCCAUUGAAACUAUUAUCCUUGAGUACAGUUGAAGUAGGCGGAAUGUGUAAUGUAGCGGUGAAAUGCUUAGAUAUUACACAGAACACCGAUUGCGAAGGCAGCUUACUAAACUGUCACUGACGCUGAGGCACGAAAGCGUGGGGAGCGAACAGGAUUAGAUACCCUGGUAGUCCACGCCGUAAACGAUGAUUACUCGUUGUGUGCGAUAUAUUGUACGCGACUGAGCGAAAGCAUUAAGUAAUCCACCUGGGGAGUACGUUGGCAACAAUGAAACUCAAAGGAAUUGACGGGGGCCCGCACAAGCGGAGGAACAUGUGGUUUAAUUCGAUGAUACGCGAGGAACCUUACCUGGACUUAAAUGUAGUUUGACCGGCUUAGAAAUAGAUCCUCUUCGGAGUAAAUUACAAGGUGCUGCAUGGUUGUCGUCAGCUCGUGCCGUGAGGUGUCGGGUUAAGUCCCAUAACGAGCGCAACCCCUAUUGUUAGUUGCUAACAGGUAAUGCUGAGGACUCUAGCGAGACUGCCACCGUAAGGUGUGAGGAAGGUGGGGAUGGACGUCAAGUCAGCACGGCCCUUAUAUCCGGGGCUACACACGUGUUACAAUGGUCGAUACAAAGGGCAGCUACACAGUGAUGUGAUGCAAAUCUCAAAAAUCGAUCUCAGUUCGGAUUGAAUUCUGCAACUCGACUUCAUGAAGGUGGAUUCGCUAGUAAUCGUGCAUCAGCAAUGAUCCGGUGAAUACGUUCCCGGGCCUUGUCACACCGCCCGUCAAGCCAUGGAAGUUGGGGGUACCUGAAGUCUGUAACCGUAAGGAGCGGCCUAA